rnacentral:rRNA from 1 species
UACGUAGGGGGGCUAGCGUUGUCCGGAUUUAUUGGGCGUAAAGAGCGUGUAGGCGGCCAGGUAGGUCUGCUGUGAAAACUCGAGGCUCAACCUCGAGACGUCGGCGGAAACCAUCUGGCUAGAGUCCGGAAGAGGAGAGUGGAAUUCCUGGUGUAGCGGUGAAAUGCGCAGAUAUCAGGAAGAACACCCGUGGCGAAGGCGACUCUCUGGGACGGUACUGACGCUGAGACGCGAAAGCGUGGGGGAGCAAACAGG